GGGGUGGGAGGGAACACUGGGUUUGCCCCAGUGCUGUUAAGAUGCUAAGAGUGGUCUGUUUGUUAGGUUUUGUUCUAGUGUAUUGGUAGGGUUUCUGAUGUUGGUUGCUGUGCUUGUCCUGUGGGGGAAUUUCCUUCUGCAUUGCCACCAAGUCAGUCACCUGGAAGCAAAAAGGCACAGUCGUGUUCUGCCUUGUUACCACCCUGGCCAUACACCUGAAUAUCUGCAGUACAGCCCCAGUUUUGCUGAGGAGAUGGCAGUGCCAUCUCUCAGUGAGAUCUCUCCAGCAUCCAGCACUGCCAACCAGCUCUUCCAGGCUGUGCAGUCUGGCACUGAAAGAGACAAAGCCAGACUGAGUCAUUUACAAAAACAGGGUGCCGCCCAUUAUUUGAGCAGGCUGGAGUGGACUGCUGCUGGGAGAUCUCGAGUGCCAAACAAUAAAUGAAUCCUCUCCGGUUAAUCGUCACCCUGCCAAUGAGACGGAGGUUGGUCGCUCUUGCAAUGAAGGACAAAAGUCUUUUCUUCUGCUCUUUGUUGCCUGUAACAAAGCUGGUUGGAUGCAGCUGGGAUCAGGCCCACAGCUGAUCCUCCUCUCCCCCGCCCCUGGGCCAUUCCUUUCAGCUCAGCUGGGGUAGCCUGGACAAUAGGGAAGCUGUGUUUGCUGCAUCUCAGGAUGUUAGGUCUAUAGUUUGGACAGCCCAAGAAUAUGUGUGUAUUCUCCCCAUUGAUGUUCAGGGGCUUGAUACCUCUUUGUUUAGUUUGCUUUAUUGAAAGGUAGAACGGAAGAAGAGAUAAUGCCCCUGCUUAGAAAUAUAGAUGCGUGGUGACAUAAAAGGGAUGAGAAGGGAACAUUUCAGAGAUGAGACCUGAAUCCACACUCCAUGGAGUGGGGAGCAGUACAGGAGGGAAGCAGUUCUACCAGCUGUGCUGCCCUGAUUUCCUCAGGCAGGAUCCUGGUCCAUGUUCAGAUAACAGGCUGCGCUGGUGUAAGAUGUUGAGAUAAUCUGCCAGUUCCUCCUGGCCCCUGGCAGGUAGCUCUCCAUGCAAGAGUGAACAGGCCAGUCUGACUCAGCUGCAAACGCACAAGCCAUCAGAAAAUGAUGAUCAGUAAACAGUGCUCUCCAUUUUCCGGUGUUGGAACCUUGCUUCCCCGAUGUGUUUGAUGUAGGUGCAUUCAAAGUACAGGAUAAUUUUUUCCACUCUCUGUUUCUGUAUUUUUGUGGUUACCUUUCUCCCAGCUUGGAGCCAGCAGGCAGAUCCUAGCACGUCCAUUUUCUACCCACUAGUGCCUCAGUAAGAGAUAGAGGUAGCUGGGCAAGCUAUGCCUGUCUCGUUAGGGCCUAGCCUUGUUACCUGCUUCCCUACAUUUCAACAUGCUGGGCCUUACAGGAAAUCACCACACAGUAAUUUAUUUCCAUAAAGCAUACUACUACAAAAAGCAUCCCAGCAUCUAGCUACCUUUCCCACAGUUUGUCAGACAUUGGUGGCUAAACUUCAUUUAUUCUGCAUACCAUUCGAAGAAACUGUCUGUGUUUGCAUGAAAACUUAGGCUACCAUGCCCAGUGCUGUGGGUUAAAUAAAAUACGCCCUUUUCCAGAUCAUAUCCAGGUAGCUGAAGAAGGGCCAAACCUGCAGUGCUCUCCUUCCCCCUUCUCCCUGAUACUGAAUAACUGUUUCCAUGCCUUCUGUGCAAAGCAUAGCAGGGACUGAUAAGCAUCUCUAAAAAGAUCAUUUAAGUUGUAUUUACCUAUGCACACAAAUAAAACUUGGGACUACACAGGCAACAUCACAUUCUCUGGCAUCUAAUGUUAAACAUAUGAAUGGCUCUUAGUCCGUUUACUAUUUUGGAAGAAUGUAUUUCCUGGUUUUCCAGGUGUCAUUGGAGUAUUGAUAGUUAUUGUGUUCUAUCUGCAUAUCAAUGCUUGUACUCCCUCGGCAGAAGAUGCUCACCUAGAAGCCUGAGGAAAUCGAAUACAUAUUCAGGACUCAAAACAAUUCUUGCCUGAUGUAUUCAAACACAGCAGCAGAAUUUCAUCACCUACCUCACCACGAAAUUCUUUUCAGAUCUUAUCUUUUCCAGUCAUAAGCUAAAAAAGAUGCAUGAUACAAUAUCCUACCAGUGCUGCAGGGGAUGUGACUCCAUAGGUAAUUUGUGAGAUAGAUGUUGGGAGUGUCCCUAACUAAAAUUGUUUGAGGAUAAAAUUACUGAGCACAGUGCUGAAAUGGUGGAUCACCCACUGGCCUGGUCUAGGAUUUCCAGAGGGCUCCUAGAUCUAUGUGCCAAACUACUACUGAAUAUCAAUUAAAACCGUGUUUCUAAUUCAGGUCCCUGAAACUCAACUAAUCCUUCCCAUAACAUUUCUUUCAGCUUUUGGAUGGUUGAUUGCAUUAAAAAUCCUAUAGGCUUUGACCAUAACAGACAACUUUGCUUUAGCAACUGAAGUACAAAACACUGAUAACUGGGCUGGUCUGUUUGCCACCAAGAGUGGCAAACCUGCUGUGCAGAGGGUAACUAGAUCCAGAGGAAAGUCUUGUGCCUCUGUGCCUACUCAGCUCACACUAUGUGAAUGCUCAGUAGGGAGCAGGAACGAGAACAUGUCAGGCCACAGGCAAUUUUAUUUCCCAUAUGGCGUUCUUCUGUGGUUCUGCUCUGAGGAUUGAGUGGCAAGAGAGGAGGGGAGGUUUGGAGAUAGAGCUUGUGGCUGUAAUCUCAGUUUUCACUGGAGCACUGAACAGGUGGUUAUUUUAAGAACCAAUCUCUUCUUAGGGUGUGCUUUCUCACUGUCUGAAUAAUGCUAGUUCUCCCCUAGCUUUGCACUGAAUUCACAGAUAACUAGGACUGAAAACUGACUGAAAACCACUCAAAGUUUGCCCAGAAUCCAGGGAAGAAAGAGUCCAUGGAAGUAUUACAAGAAAGGAAAUAUUUUCUGUAUGGGAGGAAAAAGUUGUGCUGGGUUUCGCAACAAGCUUGAUUAAGUGCCACAUUUGAAAGGUUCAUUUACUUUCAGGUUCAGUGGAACAUUAUAUUUUGUCAGAUUCAAGGUGUUCCCAUGGCUCAGCUCCUUACCUAUAUGUUGUCCCCUGUUUGUUUGCCAGCCACGUAGCAAAUGUUUUUUUGAGCUCUUUAUCCUCUUUAGCUUCCAAGUGAGAUCAUACACAAGAGCAGGAUGUAGUUAGUACAAUGGCAGCAUGCUUUAUUAGAAUUCCGUGCGUGCAUAAAAAAUUCACUGUGGUUGAUUAUAA